GACGAACGCUGGCGGCGUGCUUAACACAUGCAAGUCGAACGGACAGGCCCUGCUCUUGUUGGUUGCUCGUUUGGCGAACGCGUGAGUAACACGUGUGUAUCCUGCCCUUGUCUUUGUGAUAACUUUAGGAAACUGGGGCUAUUACCGGAUAUGAUCUCCUGCUCCAUGUUGUGCGUUGGAAAGUUUCGGCGGUUGUGGAUGGACUCGCUGCUUCUCCGCUUGUUGGUGUGGUAGUUGCUUACCAAGGCUUUGACGGGUAGCCUGCCUGAGAGGGUGACCGGCGACAUUGGGACUGAGAGACGGCCCAGAAGGCUACGGGAGGCAGCAGGGGGGAGUAUGGCACAAUGGGCGGGAGCCUGAGGCAGAGACGCCGCGUGCGGGAUGACGGCCUUCGGGGUGUAAACCGAUGUGGAAGGUGACGAAGAGUGAGUGACGGUAAUGGGUAAAGAAGCACCGGCUAACUACGUG
rnacentral:rRNA from 1 species